rnacentral:rRNA from 1 species
AUUGAACGCUGGCGGCAGGCCUAACACAUGCAAGUCGAGCGAGCGGCGGACGGGUGAGUAAUGUCUGGGAAACUGCCUGAUGGAGGGGGAUAACUACUGGAAACGGUAGCUAAUACCGCAUACCAUCAGAUGUGCCCAGAUGGUAUAAGCUAGUAGGUGGGGUAACGGCUCACCUAGGCGACGAUCCCUAGCUGGUCUGAGAGGAUGACCAGCCACACAGGAACGGAGACACGGUCCAGACUCCUACGGGAGGCAGCGGUGGGGAAUAUUGCACAAUGGGGGCAAGACUGAUGCAGCCAUGCCGCGUGUGGGAAGAAGGCCUUCGGGGUUUAAAGCACUUUCAGCGGGGAGGCGUUACCCGCAGAAGAAGCACCGGCUAACUCCGUGCCAGCAGCCGCGGUAAUUC